GGCGCUGCUGAAGGUCUGUCCGUCUCGGAGCUGCAGGGCUGGUAAUCAGAGCAAUGUGAGGACACAGCAAGAACUUGGCUAUCUGCAAAACAGGAAAGGAAGCCUAAGAUGGAGCCAGCCCUUAUGGCACCUGGAUCUUCUACUUCUACCGCCAAAACUGUGAGAAACUCUAUCACUUGCCAGAAGCGGCCUGUGGAGGCCCCCUCCCCCACCGU